rnacentral:misc_RNA from 1 species
CCUUCUUAACACAAGCGAUUGUGUUAGACAUGGCCCGGCCACUGGCCCCGCCGAAAAGAAACGUUGCGGGCCGAGCGAACUACAUAGGGACGCUUGGCUGCCGAGAAAUAACUAUUAA